rnacentral:rRNA from 1 species
UACAGAGGGGGCAAGCGUUAUUCGGAAUUAUUGGGCGUAAAGGGCGCGUAGGCGGCUAUUCAAGUGGCGGGUGAAAUCCCUCGGCUUAACCGAGGAACUGCCUGCCAGACUGGAUGGCUUGAGACCGGGAGAGGUGAGUGGAAUUCCCGGUGUAGCGGUGAAAUGCGCAGAUAUCGGGAGGAACACCAAUGGCGAAGGCAGCUCGCUGGGACGGUACUGACGCUGAGACGCGAAAGCGUGGGGAGCAAACAGG